rnacentral:lncRNA from 1 species
GCUGGGUUCGAGGUUCACCUACAUCACCUAGGUUGGCUCUUUCUCGAUGUUGGGUCUAUCAAGAGUCUCCAGAUAGGUCGGCAUUCGGAUAUCAGUGUAUAUGGAUGUUGCUAGCUUUGACAAUAGGUUUGCUAGAGCAUUAUCCAUCCUGGCUAUCUGCAAGAUUUGAAUUUAUUGAAAGAGGGGAUUAUUUCUCAUACCUUCUCCAGAUACUUCCCUAUG